rnacentral:rRNA from 1 species
UAGGGAAUCUUCCACAAUGGACGCAAGUCUGAUGGAGCAACGCCGCGUGAGUGAAGAAGGUUUUCGGACCGUAAAGCUCUGUUGUUGGUGAAGAAGGAUAGAGGUAGUAACUGGCCUUUAUUUGACGGUAAUCAACCAGAAAGUCACGGCUAACUACGUGCCAGCAGCCGCGGUAAUACGUAGGUGGCAAGCGUUGUCCGGAUUUAUUGGGCGUAAAGCAAGCGCAGGCGGAAGAAUAAGUCUGAUGUAAAGCCCUCGGCUUAACCGAGGAAUUGCAUCGGAAACUGUUUUCUUGAGUGCAGAAGAGGAGAGUAGAACUCCAUAUGUAGCGGUGGAAUGCGUAGAUAUAUGGAAGAAUACCAGUGGCGAAGGCGGCUCUCUGGUCUGCAACUGACGCUGAGGCUCGAAAGCAUGGGUAGCGAACAGGAUUAGAUACCCUGGUAGUCCAUGCCGUAAACGAUGAGUGCUAAGUGUUGGGAGGCUUCCGCCUCUCAGUGCUGCAGCUAACGCAUUAAGCACUCCGCCUGGGGGAGUACGACCGCAAGGUUGAAAC